rnacentral:rRNA from 1 species
UGUUUGUGAAAAUAACCUGUCAGCAGCCACAGUUCAUACUAGGCAAGCUGCUUGAAGCUAAGCAGGUUUGGGCCUGGCUAGUACUUGGAUGGGAGACCAACUAGGAAAGCUGGGCUGCUGGAAGAG